AGGACGAACGCUGGCGGCGUGCUUAACACAUGCAAGUCGAGCGGAAAGGCCCUUCGGGGUACUCGAGCGGCGAACGGGUGAGUAACACGUGAGCAACCUGCCCUUAGCUCUGGGAUAGCUCCGGGAAACCGGAAUUAAUACCGGAUACGACCUAGGCCGACAUCGGCCGUGGUGGAAAGUUUUUCGGCUAGGGAUGGACUCGCGGCCUAUCAGCUAGUUGGUGGGGUAAAGGCCUACCAAGGCGACGACGGGUAGCCGGCCUGAGAGGGCGACCGGCCACACUGGGACUGAGACACGGCCCAGACUCCUACGGGAGGCAGCAGUGGGGAAUCUUGCGCAAUGGGCGAAAGCCUGACGCAGCGACGCCGCGUGGGGGAUGAAGGCCUCGGGUUGUAAAGCUCUUCGCACGCGACGAUGAUGACGGUAGCGUGAGAAGAAGCCCCGGCUAACUCGUGCCAGCAGCCGC
rnacentral:rRNA from 1 species